UGUCCUUGUUAUCAUCACAAAUCCAGCAAGUAACAAAAACAAACCAGACCAGCACCGCAGUUACAAACCCAGCACACAUGUAGACAUUCAAAAUGAACAAAAAUGAUCCUUUUAGCCAUUUUUUUUUUUUUCUCUCCAGCCUUGAGGAGCUGCAUUCCCACGUUCCCUUUUUAAACACAAGGGUGAGAAAGCCUUCAAGCUGCUUAUUGGUCACAACGCUCUUCUUUCUCAUGUGCUUGCAGAUACGGUGAGCUCAGCUGGGCAGGCUUCAGUCAGACGUAGACAGAAAAAGCCAUACACCCACACAGAAACCUUCUGCCCCUCUCUGUUCAGUUACAUUUAAUUUACAGCUCACCCCUAAACGGUGAAUUUUAAUACCAUUUUCUUUCAAAAGUGUUACAUAUAAAUUCACCAUCCCCAGCGUAGAAGUGUCAGCUGGCACAGAAAUCGUUAUUGCUGGGCUGACGGCUGAAGACUGAUACGUUUAAAGAGAAAAUAUAUAUUCGCUCCAAAGUGGAAACUCAUAUUGUAAAUUCAAUUUGUCAAUAAAUAUGGAAAUGGCUUCCAUUUCCCUCUCCUCCUACUCUACGCUGCUGAGAUUGGUCAUUGUGGUACCGUGUCAGAAGUGCAGGAGGAAUUACUGGGCCCCAGAGCCAAGAGAGAUCUAUUGUCACAGCCUCAGGUCAGUGAGUUAAUUGUACAUUCAUCAGUGAUAGCAACAAUAGGAACAGAGUCUGGAAGGAGGUAAUUAGAUUUAAGAAGCUCAGAAAGGCUUUACGAACGACUUAUCUUCCUAGAAAUAUGCAAUGGGGUAAGUAAGCAAUAUGAGGAAUGUCAGGCUUUGGUCCACACAAGUGCUUACACCAAUGGUGAGCUUUAGGUGAAACUGUUCUCUGGUGCCCAGGAAAAAAUGCCCAUUUUGGUCUAAAUGGUCUCUGAUCUCCACUCCUGUGCUUCUGUCCCAAGGUGGAGAGUGUGUACAUUAACGCAAAGCUGCAAUCUGAACUGGGUGUAAUGCAGGAAGAAUUGUCAUGCUUUGGGAUUUUCCUGCCUGCAGGUGGACACUGAGGUGCUCACCCAGCCUCUGGUGUAGCAGCAAUGCUGAGUCACAGCUUGAAGCAGUGAUGGAGCAGCUGGUGGGAAGGCAGGGCCAACCCAAGGGAGCUCAGCUGCACGCAAUGCAAUGCAAUGCAAUGCAAUGCCAUGCCCAUGAGGGGCCAGGAGGGAUGGAGUCAGGAUCCUCCCCUUCCCAGACUUCAUUUAAGGGUUGUCAGUGGAGGUGAGGGGAUCCUGUUGGACAUCUCUGCAUCCUUGAGGCCUUCUGAAGGAAAGCUGCUCUCUUCCUUUAUUUCUGCACCCAUGGCCAACAGCGUUUGAGCAAAUCCUUGCUUGCCACAGCCUGGGACCUUGCUGUUCUGCUGUCAUUGCUGUGAUUUCUAUUAUGUUACACCUGGAGAAGUGGCUCCUUGCUGUGUCUAAACCAGCACAGCCCUGCUGGUCAACUUGGACCUACUCUGCCUUCUUUGAGCUUUUGGUUUGGGAGCUGAAAUGUCUCUUGGAUUAAAGAUCAAAAACACAAAGGAUGGGAGAGUGAUGUGCAUGAUGUAGAAGGAGAGCACGCAGAAGUCCAGAAGACUUUGACCUCGAGGGACUGGAAUCUGUUUUCUGUUCAGGUUGCAUAAAUUCAAGAUCAGCCCCAGAACUGAAGCAAAUCUUCUGUUCUGUGAACUGGGAGCACCCUUAAUAGAGCUGCUGUGGAUUUAUGCCUGGCCUGGCCCCGGGAGAGUCAAUCUGGAUUUGCAUUUUAACUCAGCUCUGCCAGUCUGGAGUAUCUCCAAGAGACUCCCUUGGCUUGCUGUGCAGUAUUUUUUUUCAGCCAUUUCAAGUGCAGUUGUUAAUGGAUGUCAAUAUGGAAUAUACUAUGAGUAAAUACAGUGCAUGUGAAAGAAAUCAGGAAGGAAGCACUAAGCACGCUUUCCCCUUAAGCUGUGCUGAUGUCUGUGUCCUUGCAGCAGCUCCUGCUCUGUACCAUCCCUCCCAUUCCAUUCCUGAGGUUACUUUGCUCAAGCCCAUCCAUCUUGGUCCCUUCUGUCUUUUAUUCCUGGCUGUAAGGGUGACAAAGCCUUUGCUACAAUCCUGUGCUAAAAGCUGACCGCAUCUCACCAGCUUCCCACAGCAGCUUCCUCCCAAACGCUCCUCCAUUCCUGAAGAUCUGUGCUUUUCAUCACAGGAGAAGGCAGCAACCAAUAUCUGCUUUCAUCUUCACACGCAGACUUGACGACUUGCACAGUUUGCAACUUGCCACCCAAACAGAUACUUUUUGUCAGUGCUUGCAUAUGGUCACUUAUUAUGUUGGGACACCGUUAAUUAUUUCAGACCGCUGUCUAUCUGUCAGAGCACUGCAUUGUCUGCUUGUUUAAUCUACAGCAGCUUUUGUUUGCUUCAGAACAGUCGAUAUUUUUUUCCUACGCGUUUCCUUUUUCUUAUCUCACCCACUGCUGAAGCUUUAAUUUCUACACCAACUCCUCCCUCCCAGUCCCCCCCCUGCCCUCCCCCUUCUCGGAAGGACCAUCCUCACAUCCUGGGGCUGUGGGGCUGCUGCAGUGUUUGCAGGGCACUUUUAAGAGCUGCUGGAACGCUGAGGAUCCUUAUGGCUGCUAUUAGAAACGGGGCCGUUUCUGCAGACAGGCAGGAUUCGGGUCAGGAGAGCUUUGGCUUGGGUUGUAUUCUCCAGGUGGCAGCUGCUAUAAAGGAAACAGAUGUUUUGUUACAGUUUCUGAGGAACUCUAAUAAUUUUGUUAGAUGGAGGGGAGCAGGGGGCUAAGGUCAGCAGCAAGCUGCAAUAGCCGGUGCUGCAGGACUGGUUUUAACAUGAGAAAGAUGAUUGUUUAUUAGUGCCAGGCAGAGCUGAGGAAAAGGCUUCAGGGGGAGAAAAAGCAUUUGUGAGUAUUGGCUUGCUAUAAAAGGCACAUGUGGACGUGGCUGGGUCUGCAGCUCUCUUAUAUCAGCUGCCCACGAAGCCUGAGCCCAGCGGAUGUUUCUUUCCAGAGGUUUCUUGGAAAGAGAAGCAUCCACACCUGGCUGAGCAGGGAUGGAGGAUGUCACGGUGCCAGGCAGUGGGCUCUGUGCUGUGAUGCCACGAGCAGAAGGGCCGUGGGGGUUCCAACCUCCCCCAUGCAGAGCAGCUCCUCCUCGUGUUGUCUUUGGGGCUGUCAAGCUGAGGGUCAUCCCUCAGUUUCUACAUCCCGCAGUAAACUGAUGCUGUACAAUGACAACAGAGCAGUGACACUGAAGCUCCUUGCCAACUUGGAAUAAUGACAAAUGGCUCCAUCCAUCCGGACGUUCAUGUAUGAAGCCACAGGGAUGAUGUGCAGCAGAAACACAAUGCAGAAAUCAACCCUCAGAAUGCAAUCAAUGUUUGGGAAGAUCUCACAGUGUCUGUCCGUGCCACGUGGAGAUGAUGAUGAAUUGCACUGAAUCUGGAGCCAUCAAAUUUCCUGCCUGUCUUUCUUAACCUUGGGACAAAUUAAAUCAAAUUCUACUGUGAAGCCUAAAGACAUAAAAUUUGUUAGCUGUAACAGUAUAUUCUGCCAAGCAAUCAGAACUCCCCAGUAUUAAUUACCUUAUUCAGUAAGUUAAACAAAUGACGUGGAUUCAAGGGGAAGCCACCCAGGAGUUCCUGCCAGUGAACAUCCAAACUCCAGUUGCUAAUUUGAUGUGGGGAGCAAUAAUCUGUUCUAAAGCUGCCUCCGUUCCUGAGCAGUAACAAACCACGUGUGAGCAUCUUUAAUGGAACUGCUUCACAAGUGCCUGAAAGCAAUAACUGCUCUGUGCUGGGUGCAGUGGCAGCUGGAGGGCCACCUAUCUGUUGGCUUUCCUCUUGAAGGAGGUGCUCCUUCAUCCCAGUCUGCACACUGCCUGUCUGUGCUCCCCAUUGCAGUGAGCAUCCCAGGGCUAUGGCAGUCUCUGCUGGCAUCUCAUCUCCUGCAGAGCCACCGAGUGUGCAGGUUUGGGGGAUCCCUGCUGCUGCUGGAAGUGAGCUGGAAAUCCUCUGUGUGGAUUUCUUUCUUUCAUGGUCCAAGCUGGGAGUGUUGUUUUCCCCUGCAGAGAGAGCAGCCAAAGGGAGGCAGGGUCUGAAAUGGCCACAGCUGUUGGUGAGGGCACUGCUUUGCCAUGGCUGCUUCAGCAGAGGUAGCAGGGUGAAAUUGGAAGUGGGACAUCUGUGGUUUUAAGACCAGAAAAGACUGUGAGAUGAUAUAUUCUAACUGACCAAAUGCCAUUUGCUUACGUUGCUUCUGGUCACAGUAACUUCUGUGUGCAAUGGGUAUUUUUCUAAGAGAUCCAGGUCUGUUUGGGAGGCACUCAGUGAUGAAGAGUCUCCUGUUUCCAGACUGUUUGAAUAAUUAAUCACCAUUACUUAAAAGAUGCUAGUCUCAUUUUGCAUUCCUAUUUGUCUGGCUUUAAUUCACAUCAAGAGAGCCUCUCUGUGCUUGUCUCUCCCAGAUUACAGCCCUCAGCAUCUGAUCUUUUCUUUCUGUGAAAGUGCUUUACAUUGUAAUCAAAUUAUCUUCAAAUUUCUUC